rnacentral:sRNA from 1 species
CUCUCCAGAUACAGGCUGCUCCUCAAGACUGGGGCUCUUCACAUACGCUCCUCACCGCUCUUUGGGCAGGCCGACCUAGCAGCCUCUUCGGGAGUCCUGGGGUGGCCGGGGGUGCUGGAGCCCCCAAAUGAGCCGGCAGGUGGUCCGCUCCAGCAAGUUCCGCCACGUGUUUGGACAGCCGGCCAAGGCCGACCAGUGCUAUGAAGAUGUGCGCGUCUCACAGACCACCUGGGACAGUGGCUUCUGUGCUGUCAACCCUAAGUUUGUGGCCCUGAUCUGUGAGGCCAGCGGGGGAGGGGCCUUCCUGGUGCUGCCCCUGGGCAAGGUGAGCCCCUGGGGCCCUGGGGGGAGCAGCUCCUCCACCAGACCCAUGGCUCUGUGCAGGUCCUGAUUAGGUGACGGUCACCAGGCCUUCCAGGGCCUGUGUUGCCAUCUGGAAAACUGAGCUGGGCCCCAUGAGCCUUACACUUCCUCCAGCUCCUCUGUGCUGUGGCUGUGUGGAAACUGACGCUCAGAAGGAGCCAACACAAGAUGGGUCACACCAGUGACCAGGACUACAGACAGUC